AGGCAGUUAGUGUAAGAAAAACAUUUGAUUUCGACUCAAAAGCUUAUGGUUUAAGUCCAUAGCUGCCAA
rnacentral:tRNA from 1 species